GCGUCGGUGGUGUAACGGUUAACAUACGCUAUCGGAAAGAGUGAGAUUUGGGUUCCAAUCCCGGCUGACGCA